CGCCGCAGACGACGAUGGCCGGGUACGCGCAGGGCGACCGGCACCACGCCGCGUCCAACGGGGCGAGGCCCGGCGCAGCAGGUCAGGCAGAGGCCAGGGAGAAGAGCAACGCGAGGUGUGAGGCUCAGCGUACAGCUAGCUAGCAGUGGGCUAUGGGAGAAGAUGAAGGCACAAACCCUAUAGGCUGCCUGCAGAAAUUCAACCGUUUCCUGUGAAAUCCAUGUCCUAAGUAGGAACAUGCCCUACUAAGUAUUGUUUCUUCUGGAAUAAAACAUAGGUUCCGUUGUUACUUCAUCUUUUUUUGUGCUUUUCUUCUGCCUGAGCAGGAUGACGAAAGUUCAAAGUGCAAAGCCUCAGCUCUGUAUAACUUAGCUGGUGAUGUUCUAAGCCAUGCUUGUCGAUUUAAGCAGCUGGUCAUCCUGGUAGAACUUCAGUUGCUUUCACUGCUAUCCAUUUCGGAAAAAACGCAUAGGGAUUAAAAACACAUGAACAGACAGUGGCUUUUUUUUUAAUGCGUGAUUUUGUUUUAGGGAAGCAUCACUUUUUUCUUUUGUUGAACCUGAGGGAAGCAUCACUUAAGGAGACAAAGAGAGGUAUUGCCGUCAUGCAUGCCUCAGAUGAAAUCAAUAGUAAUAAGUAAAUCUAUGUCGGCACAAACUGGGGCUGACUAAGAAUAGCAAAGCGCUGAGACCAAUUGGAUCAAACUGAGGGUCAUUGUUCAUUCAAGAUGACAGAAAUAAAUGUGUCAAAUAUUUGGUAUCAACACUUGGAUGGAGACGCAAGUGACAUUUGAUAUUUCUGAAAGGAACAGAACAUUAGGCUUCCUUCUGCUACAACACCAAAAAGAAACUGAAAA